GAUGAAGAACGUAGCGAAAUGCGAUAAGUAAUGUGAAUUGCAGAAUUCAGUGAAUCAUCGAAUCUUUGAACGCACAUUGCGCCCCUUGGUAUUCCGAGGGGCAUGCCUGUUAGAGCGUCAUUAUAACCCCUCAAGCUCAGCUUGGUGUUGGGGCCUGCUGCACUGGCAGCCCUUAAAAUCAGUGGCGGCGCCAUCUGGCUCUAAGCGUAGUAAUUCUUCUCGCUAUGGAGUCCUGGUGGAUGCUUGCCAUCAACCCCCAAUUUUUCUAUGGUUGACCUCGGAUCAGGUAGGGAUACCCGCUGAACUUAAGCAUAUCAAUAAGCGGAGGA
rnacentral:misc_RNA from 1 species